rnacentral:lncRNA from 1 species
ACAAUUAGAUAUUAAUUAGUAUUAUAAUUUUCACUGUAAUUAAUAUAAGUUAGAUAAGUCAUACAAAUCUAAUUUUGAAUUUCAUCCAAAUUCUUUCUUAAAUUUCGGAACACGUUUUAGAAAUUUAAAUGUGACGUCACUUUGGGCGUUGCAUCGACUAUGGCUAACAGGGCUGUGAUUUUGUAAUGUAUUCGUUUGUAUUCUAUAGCUAGUCACCAC